CAACUGUGAAUCGAAUACUAUUUCUGUAAACCCCCUUGGAUCGCUUUGGCUGGUUUUGGGUUGUGAAAAGUGUGUGGACCAUGCGGCUUGGGCUGGGCUGGCUUCUGGGCUUUUCUUCUUAAUUUUUUUUCUUUUCUUUUGGCUUCGAGUCUUCAUUCGGGGUCCAAAUUGAGUCUGAUUUGUGCCUAAUUUUUUUCUUUAAAUUUACAAAUUAAGCUCUUUACAUUGGCAAUCCUCUUUCUUACAAAACACAAGUAAAAGCA
rnacentral:lncRNA from 1 species